rnacentral:rRNA from 1 species
CGUUUACUUUGAACAAAUUAGAGUGCUUAAAGCAGGCUAUCCUCGCCUGAAUACUGCGUGCAUGGAAUAAUGGAAUAGGACCUCGGUUCUAUUUUGUUGGUUUUCGGAACCCCGAGGUAAUGAUUAAUAGGGACAGAUGGGGGCAUUCGUAUUGCGACGUUAGAGGUGAAAUUCUUGGAUCGUCGCAAGACGGACAGAAGCGAAAGCAUUUGCCAAAAAUGUUUUCAUUAAUCAAGAACGAAAGUUAGAGGUUCGAAGGCGAUCAGAUACCGCCCUAGUUCUAACCAUAAACGAUGCCAGCUAGCGAUCCGC